AAAUAAAAAAGUUUAUUCCUAAUAUGUUGAAAUCUUUCCAUCUAAACCUAAAGACAAGGCAAGUUCAUGAUGACUCCUUCAAAAUUAGAAAAUUAAUAAAACCACAUACCCAACCCAUUCUAGAUAGUUGAACAACAAUUCCCUUACACAUCCAAAAAAGUCAACACCUCACUAAUCCACUUUUUCUCUUACCCUUUAGUAACAAAAAGAACAAAGAAAAUCAUUAACAAUCACAUAAAAUAACUACAAAGUAGAGUAAUUAGCGGUGUAGUAUUAUAUAUGAUAUAUGAUUAAUGAUUAGAAUUAGGAUUAUAAACAGAGAAAAUUAUCCUAAUUCUUUCUUUGCUUUCAAUAGCAGCAAAUGAACACUUUCCCACUCAAAUCACACUUCAAUUUCAAUCAUGCUUUUCCCUACCUCUUCCUCAUGCUCCUCCUUUUCUUCAUCAUCAUUCUUCCACCGCCGGCAACGGCACAGAUACUGAAUACAAAACCACCACCACCACCGGCGGUGGAUAGAAUUUCCAAGCUCAAAUUCGACAAAUCCAUGGCAAUUGUGUUAGUAAUCUUAGUAGCUGAGUUUUUCAUCCUCGGUUUUCUCUCCGUCUACACUCGUCAGUGUGCAGAACAGAGAAUUAGAGGAAGAUUCGAUUUAUCAAUUCCGAUCGUCGGAAGUAACCGGAGACACCGUGGACUUGAUUCCGAAAUCAUCGAAACGUUUCCGACGUUUGUUUAUUCCACCGUGAAAGGUCAUAAAAUUGGAAGAGCCGCGCUAGAAUGCGCCGUUUGUUUAAACGAAUUUCAAGAUGAUGAAACGCUGCGUUUGAUUCCUAAUUGUUGCCACGUGUUUCAUCCUGAAUGUAUUGAUGCUUGGCUUGUUAAUCACUCCACGUGUCCCGUUUGUCGCGCCAAUUUAAUUCCAAAACCCGGAUCCAAUUUCGUUUCAAUUCAGAUUCCGGAUUUGGAUACAUCCGAUUCAGAUGACCCGACCCGAAAUAAUACGGUUUCCGAAACCGCUGCUAGAGAUACAGUUAUUAUUACAUCUCGUUCUCCUUCUCCUAAGGUGAAUUAUUCGGUUACACCGAACCGGGCUCGACCGGUUCGGUCAAGUUCAACCGGGUUUAAACUUGGAAACUGGCUACCAUUUCCACGGUCGCAUUCUACGGGUCAUUCAUUGGUUCAAGAAGGGGAGAGUCAUGAGCGGUUCACGUUGAGAUUACCGGAGGAAGUUCGGAACCGGUUGAUGGGUUCAAGUUCAACGCCGAGUUGUGGUGUUAGUUUUACUCGAGAGGGAAGUGGGAGGAGGGGUUAUAGAACGAGGAGUGUGGGAAGUAGUGCUCCUGGGAGGAAUUAUGAGUGGUUUAACCGGCCGGACCGGAGAGGAUUUUCUUGUACGCCGCCGUUUAUGGGUCGAACCGGAACCGGUUCGAGUUGGUUGAAGAAUAAGUCACCUGGGAAAUUGGAUGAUGUGGGAGAACGGUCUUCUGAUCACUUGUUUGAAGGCAGAGUAGGUGACCAUGGAUAACCAUUGUGACCUGCAUGUAGAGACAAUUGGAGAGGGAAUAGAAGGUGGUUGGGAGUGUCAUCCAAUCUUAAUAUCAGACUCAAAUAGAGCACAUUCAUUCAGUCAUAUUAAUUGACUAAAGUCCCCUUAAUCUCUCCAUGUGUUUUACUGUCUUGACUUCAUAUCUGGUAUACAAAUUGCUACUUACUACUCUAUGCCCAUCAAUGAAUUGGGAGUAUUAGAAAAGCUGUGAUCAUAGGUAAAACUCAAAUUUCAACAAGGUCACUGUGACUAGAUCAUUGUGAAGUAACAGUACUCUUUAGUUAAUUUGUUUCAUUGAAAUGAUUUUUACAUAUGAUAGAAAACAUGUUGGUAUGAUUUCAAUUAUAAAAAAAAAAGGCUUCCACCACCUAAUAAUCAUAGGUUGUUUGUUUGCUUCUGUCAAAAUUUGAAUAAACAAAAGUC